ensembl:snRNA U1 U1 spliceosomal RNA
AUACUUACCUGGCAGGGGUAUACCAGUGAUACCAUGAUCACUAAAGUGGUUUUCCCAGAGCGAGGCUUAUCCAUUGCACUCCAGAUGUGCUGACCCCUGCAACUUCCCCAAAUGUGGAAAACUCGACUGCAUAAUUUGUGGUAGUGGGGGACUGUGUUUGUGCUUUCCUCUU